rnacentral:rRNA from 1 species
AUGCAGUCGAACGGAAAGGCCCUGCUUUUGUGGGGUGCUCGAGUGGCGAACCGGUGAGUAACACGUGAGUAACCUGCCCUUGACUUUGGGAUAACUUCAGGAAACUGGGGCUAAUACCGGAUAGGAGCUCCUGCUGCAUGGUGGGGGUUGGAAAGUUUCGGCGGUUGGGGAUGGACUCGCGGCUUAUCAGCUUGUUGGUGGGGUAGUGGCUUACCAAGGCUUUGACGGGUAGCCGGCCUGAGAGGGUGACCGGCCACAUUGGGACUGAGAUACGGCCCAGACUCCUACGGGAGGCAGCAGAGGGGAAUAUUGCACAAUGGGCGGAAGCCUGAUGCAGCAACGCCGCGUGCGGGAUGACGGCCUUCGGGUUGUAAACCGCUUUCGCCUGUGACGAAGCGUGAGUGACGGUAAUGGGUAAAGAAGCACCGGCUAACUACGUGCCAGCAGCCGCGGUGAUACGUAGGGUGCGAGCGUUGUCCGGAUUUAUUGGGCGUAAAGGGCUCGUAGGUGGUUGAUCGCGUCGGAAGUGUAAUCUUGGGGCUUAACCCUGAGCGUGCUUUCGAUACGGGUUGACUUGAGGAAGGUAGGGGAGAAUGGAAUUCCUGGUGGAGCGGUGGAAUG